AAAUCAUAAUUACGUAUUUCCAUUAAAUAAAAAAAAACAAAAAAAGAGGUUUAAAAUUUCAGUAUAAAUGGCUGAACGAAUUCAAUUGGCUUGUUUAUUUGGAAGUUGAAGAUGGAGCUUUUUGUAAGCAUUGUGUUGUUUUUGCAAAAACCGGUGGAAUAGGAAAUCAAUCUUUACAAUAUUUGGUUAGUGAAGUAUUUGAUAGUUGGAAAAAAGCUAAAGAGAAUUAAACAAAUCAAGGCGAAUAGAGAGCGACUCAUUCCAAUCGUUGAUUGUGUCUUACUUUGUGGUCGUCAAGAGAUUGCUCUACGAGGACAUAAAGAUUAUGGAAAAAUUGAUAUGGAAUGUUCAUUAAAUCAAGGCAACUUUAGAGCCAUAUUAAAGUAUAGAGCAUAUGGUGAUGAGAUGUUAAAGCAUAUCAUUAAAAGUAAAGGACGAAACAAAUACCUAACUCCUCAAAUUCAAAAUGAAAUCAUAACGGCAUGGGGGGACAUUAUGCUGUAAAAAAUAGUUAAGAAUGUAAAUGCUUCAAAAUGUUUCUCAGUUUUAGUUGACAAGACUACUGAUAUUUCUACUAUUGAACAAAUGGCUAUGUGUGUUCAAUAUGUUGACGAUAACGACUGUAUCCAUGAGAGAUUCCUGAAAUUUAUUACUUUUAACAGUUUAACUGGUUGUGAUUUAGCUGAAUCAAUACUC